CUAACGCUGGCGGCGUGCCUAAUACAUGCAAGUCGCACGAGAAAGUAAAGCUUGCUUUACGAGUAAAGUGGCGCACGGGUGAGUAAUGCAUAAGUAAUCUACCUUCGAAACUGGGACAACCUUCCGAAAGGGGGGCUAAUACCGGAUAAGACCACGAUAUACAUUAUAGUGGUAAAAGAUGACCUCUGCUUGCAAGUUAUCAUUUGAAGAUGAGCUUAUGUCCUAUCAGCUUGUUGGUGGGGUAAAGGCCUACCAAGGCUAUGACGGGUACCUGGUCUGAGAGGAUGACCAGGCACACUGGAACUGAGACACGGUCCAGACUCCUACGGGAGGCAGCAGUAGGGAAUUUUGCGCAAUGGGAGAAAUCCUGACGCAGCGACGCCGCGUGAGUGAUGAAGGCUUUCGGGCUGUAAAACUCUGUUUAGUGGGAAGAAGGGUUUAAGGCUAAUAUCCUUAAGCAUUGACGGUACCACUAGAGUAAGCACCGGCUAACUCCGUGCCAGCAGCCGCGGUAAUACGGAGGGUGCAAGCGUUGAUCGGAAUUACUGGGCGUAAAGCGAGAGCAGGUGGUUUAAUAAGUCAGAUGUGAAAUCUCUAGGCUUAACCUAGAAACUGCAUCUGAUACUAUUAAACUAGAGUGUAAGAGAGGGUGAUGGAAUUCCCAGUGUAGGGGUAAAAUCCGUAGAUAUUGGGAGGAACACCGGAGGCGAAGGCGAUCACCUGGCUUACAACUGACACUCAUCCUCGAGAGCAUGGGUAGCAAACAGGAUUAGAUACCCUGGUAGUCUAUGCUGUAAACGAUGGACACUGGAUGUUGUGGGAUUUGAUCCCUGCAGUAUCGUAGUUAACGCGUUAAGUGUCCCGCCUGGGGAAUA
rnacentral:rRNA from 1 species